GACGAACGCUGGCGGCGUGCUUAACACAUGCAAGUCGAACGGAAAGGCCCUGCUUUUGUGGGGUGCUCGAGUGGCGAACGGGUGAGUAACACGUGAGUAACCUGCCCUUGACUUUGGGAUAACUUCAGGAAACUGGGGCUCAUACCGGAUAGGAGCUCCUGCUGCAUGGUGGGGGUUGGUAAGUUUCGGCGGUUGGGGAUGGACUCGCGGCUUAUCAGCCUGUUGGUGGGGUAGUGGCUUACCAAGGCUUUGACGGGUAGCCGGCCUGAGAGGGUGACCGGCCAAAUUGGGACUGAAGUAAGGCACAGACUCCUACGGGAGGCAACAGUGGGGAAUAGUGCACAAUGGGCGGAAGCCUGAUGCAGCAACGCCGCGUGGGGGAUGACGGCCUUCGGGUUGUAAACCGAUUUCGCCUGUGACGAAGCGUGAGUGACGGUAAUGGGUAAAGAAGCACCGGCUAACUACGUG
rnacentral:rRNA from 1 species